UUGAUCCUGGGGUGUGCGCGUGCUUUGUUUUUUAAACCCACAUUCUAACUUCGGGAGUCAAACUGUNCUCGGUGAUGCAAACCAGCUUUACUGCAGGUAGCCUAAAGAGUACCAGCAAGAUGCCCACCUGCCGAGAGGCGGGUAUUAGAACGCAAGGCAUACGGCACUUUGGGUCNNCN
rnacentral:other from 1 species